rnacentral:tRNA from 1 species
GCGGGUGUCGCCAAGUGGUUAAGGCCCCUGAUUGUGGUUCAGGUACGCGUGGGUUCGAAUCCCAUCAUCCGCCCCA